rfam:Camelus ferus unplaced genomic scaffold scaffold674, whole genome shotgun sequence.
GAGGGUGGAGCUCAGUGGUAGAGCAAAUGCUUAGCAUGCACCAAGUCCUGGGUUUAACCCCCAGUACCUCCA